UGGGGAAUAUUGCACAAUGGGCGCAAGCCUGAUGCAGCCAUGCCGCGUGUAUGAAGAAGGCCUUCGGGUUGUAAAGUACUUUCAGCGGGGAGGAAGGGAGUAAAGUUAAUACCUUUGCUCAUUGACGUUACCCGCAGAAGAAGCACCGGCUAACUCCGUGCCAGCAGCCGCGGUAAUACGGAGGGUGCAAGCGUUAGUCGGAAUUACUGGGCGUAAAGCGCACGCAGGCGGUUUGUUAAGUCAGAUGUGAAAUCCCCGGGCUCAACCUGGGAACUGCAUCUGAUACUGGCAAGCUUGAGUCUCGUAGAGGGGGGUAGAAAUCCAGGUGUAGCGGUGAAAUGCGUAGAGAUCUGGAGGAAUACCGGUGGCGAAGGCGGCCCCCUGGACGAAGACUGACGCUCAGGUGCGAAAGCGUGGGGAGCAAACAGG
rnacentral:rRNA from 1 species